UUGCCCUAAGGAACAAAAUAACAACCAUUAACAAAUAACAACAUUACUCAUCAGUUAUUCAAUUCUACAAAUAUGUAUGUUGUAUGAACUGCCUGCAUAUACGAGCAAGUCCCAUCCCUCUGUAUAAGGGGAGAUCAAGUGUUUGGGCAGAUAUUUAUAAUAAAAGGACGUGGUCUCUGCAAAAUGCUGGGCUCCUGCGUCCGUUGCCGGCUCUGUGCGGAGGGCCCCUGGCUAAGCUUUACGGAGCUACUCGGGAAAAGGAUUUUCGUGGCUCCCUGAUUUUGGCAAGAAGAGAACAGCUUCUGAGAUGAAUCUAAACUGAGAAAGUUUCUUCCAAUGCACAGAUGUCAUUGAUCUACUUAUAUUUCCUGUGAUAAAAUAUUGAAUGUCUCCUCCUCGAUGCCAGCGCCUAGAGUCUGAUUCUUGAACCACGGCCUGCCUAGCACCCAACUGUGAACCUAAGUUCAUCAUCCUUUUAAGCACAUUAUCUAAUUAGAGGCCAGAGAAAAACCCAAAGUGGCUGUUCCAAACCAGUUUGACCGGCCUUCUCUCUGCACUGUGGUUUAGCCACAGUGACAAAUAUUAGCCUUUUUCCAGCUAAGCUUCACGGAGUCGCAGGUAUCUGGACAAUUUAAGCCAAAUACUUAGGCUGAAUUAUACAACCCGGAUUUUGUAGCUUCGGUCCAAACUCUACUAAGAAAGCUCAGAGUCCAUUACUUUGCAGAUAUUUUUUAGGGAUUUUUCUUUUUGGUCUGAGUAAAUGCACAUUUCUGUACACAGGGAAACAUUUCCUCAUCGCUCCUCCUCUUUUCUAUCUCAAUGAAAAAUUAAAGUGAUUAGCUUAAAAAUCUGUUAAUUAGUUUUGCAUGAAACAUUGCUUUAGCCAUAUUUGUAUAUAAUUUGUGUAUAUAAUCUAUACAUGUUUGCAGUGACUUACACUAAUUACUAUGCCUUGUUUUUUUGAAAUUAGGGAAUCAAUAAUAAAAAAUAAAAGCGUGCACGUAGUGCUAUCUUG
rnacentral:lncRNA from 1 species